rnacentral:lncRNA from 1 species
CUAUGCCACGUGAUCCCAUCACAUGACCUAGCACAUUUAGCUGGCGGCCACCCCGGACCUCCUCCCAUUCUCCGUUCCAACUCUGACUCCGAGGCCCGACCAGACGGGACUCGCCGGCAGCAUUCCCAGGCUGUGGCUGGGGCCCGUCCUCUUCCUCUUCCCUCUUCCCUCUUUCCCCCGCCUUCUCCAGCGGCUUGCGCUCUGCUCUCUUCAGCCCUCCUGCCUCAACCCCUCUUCCCUCUCUUUCCCUCUUCCCCGCACCCUCUCCCCUGGUGCCUCGCGCUGGCCUUUCCACGCACCCCCCGCUCCCCGGCGGACACAUCUACACAUCCGGAACCCUCGAAGCGCUGUGAGUCUGGGCUGCCCUCCCUCCGAGGCCACACGGAGGCGCGUCCUAAUGAAGGGUUAUAAGUAACCCCUUAAACUCCUACCUCCAGUGUUUAACUCUGCCCUCCAAUACCAUCUCUGCAAAAGGCUUAGAAGGAUUUGCUGGAAGAAGCCACCUGAGUGUACAAGAAACUGUCCUGUGUUGUGGCACUGUAGUAUGGAGCAUCAGGAGAAAGAGAAGAUGCACCAGAAUAUGGAAAAGGGAAGCUAUACAAGUGUCAUAUUGAAGAAAAUUUGUCAAAGAAGGUCGACACCUACUUUUUGUGAAGUUAUUAUUCCCACAAACCCUUACCCAAAUUGUCAUUGUUUAAUAUGGAUUGGUAUAUAAAUGAACAUCAGAGUCCUGGGUGUUCUCUUAGGUAUAAAACCAAACAUUGUACCACACUAUGCCAUAGGCAACCUAUUUUCUGAAAGGGCAUCUAAUUUUUUUUUUUAAGUUAGUAAUAUAACCCAGUAUAGAACCAUGCUAUGACCACUUGCUUCUUAGUUCUUUGUUUUUAGCUUCUCCAUCUUCAAGGCAUUUUGUAGUUCCAUCCACUCAAAAUCAUGACUCAAAAACCCCUUUCAGUGUGUUUCUUUUACCAGUUAGAUGAGAUAUUUGUUCAAAGCAAAAAACAUUUAAUCAAACAGCAUAGCAAUACAAAUGACUAGAAAGAUUUCUCUUUACAUCAAUCCAUCUUUACAUCAAUAACAAUGAGGAAGAGAUUCAUAUAUGGAAACAGUGAACAUUUUCAAGUUUGAGUGCCCAGAGGGCAAAUUCAAGCUAUGUGUAGCCUGCUAGUAGUGGUUACAAAAAGGGAUUUUUCCUUUGUGGGUUGGGAGUGAGGAGUCUGAGAAUAUGAGUGAAGAAUGAGAGACACAGACAAGUCAAAGUAAUUGAUAGGGCAAGUGUGAUCCCUAUGACAUUCUCCUAGGUAGAAGAAUGUGAGAAGCUUGCAGACAUGUGGAAGUAAAGAUUCCAAGAUAGAAAGCAUGUGGCCCAGAGAGGCCUUAGUAAAGAGACAGUAGUGAAGCUUUAAGAUUGCUGGAACAAGAGAGAGAGGGAAUCACGCCUUUACCCCAGGCUUUAUUGGGGAUUGCCAGGAUCAAUGACCACUAACAAAGCAUAGAUAAUUCAGAUUGGAUGGCAAGGUAAAGGUGACACCCUUUGGGCGUGUAGAUUUCAACCUGAGAUUUCCCAGAGCUAAAUGUUAAUGAGUUUGUCUUGGGCAAUGGCCACAUGUCCGGGUCAAGAGACCACCCACAAAUAUCAGGGGUAUAACCUUGUGUCUGAAGACACAGUAACCAUACAAUCAUUUAUAUUUCAUAGAUGUGAAUAUGCUUGGAAUGCUACACUAUGAACCACCAACACCACCCCAAUAACCUUAGAGAGUGGAAGAAGAAAGUGCUUGCUUUAGGUGGCUGGACAGAGAGGUGGGGCAUACAAAAAUUGUCCUCAGGUGUUGGGAAGAGGGGAAAUGGAGAAGCUCCCCGAGUGCCAUCUGGGCACACAUGCUAAUACUUUGCCAAUACUGAUAUAGGAAAUAUAUUUAGCUAGGGAACACAAGUAGCUAGGAAACACAUAUGCAGAAGCACAGAGAACAUACAUGACCAGAGAAUACACAUGGCUGGGAAAAUUUUACAUUCCCAAGGCCCUUGGUUGUUUCCCCCACAAAAUUGCCCAGGUGAUGUCAUAAGGUUAGAGUUGGUUUGUUUUUUGUUGUUUUUUAAACUGAGCUUGGAUCCUUUGCUGCUUUGUUCCUUUGCUAUGCUGCUCUCUGCUUGGUGUCUAACCUUAUUGUUCUGAGUAGAACACUGUUUCUGGUGCUGCUGCUGUUCUCUGCUGGCAUUUGCUGGUCUUCAACUGCUAUGUGGCUACUUUGCCUCUUCUACCAUUAUUUGAUCUUAUGCUAAAUUACAGCAGCUGUACACAACCCUUUCCUCACAGGAAGAGGGAUCCGCUUCUUUAAUCAUAGUCCCAGAGACUACUGCAACUAUAUUGAGCCAGCCAACCAAUUAAAAAAAAACAAAAAACAAUCUUCAGUUUAGAUUAUUUGUCUUUUGAACUUUUCUCCUGGAGCUGGGACUGGGAGUUGAGGAGUAAAGAUAGGGGCAUAUAAUACAAUCAUAGUUUAAACUUUGUUUUAUUUAAAGUGAGAAAAUCUCAUCUUCUUUCCAUUCCCAUUGAUAACAGUGAUGAUCAAGAGCAGGCAAAUCAUAGAGAACUGGCAAAGAAGAAUGACUGGUGAUCUUCAUCCUAUUCCCCUCCCUCUAGCUAAAUACCAUCAGACCUGACAUUUCCAUUUACAUAGUCUAACCUACUUGCUUUCUCUCAGAGCAUUAUAUCUCUUGUAUGUCACCUCCUAUAUUUCCUCCACACCUUUAAUACGUUCCAUCCUCAUCCCUGCCUCCUAGAAUUCCCAGCCCUCUUCAAAGCUUGACUCAAGUGCCAGUUCCUACAUAAGGUUUCUCUGCAUCCUCCUAGGGGGAUUCCAGGGAAAUACUUUAUCUGAUUCUGAAAUGGCCUUGCAUUUAUUUUCUCAGUGUGUCUGUAUUUAUUUGUGAAUAUCCGGAACACAAAUGUGUUCAUAUAUAUAAACACAAGUGUGCAUACAUGUUAUAUCCCUAAUAAAAUGUAAAAACCUUGAGGAA